CAGCCACCAAUCCAGACUAUCCGUUGAUUUCUGUUUCAGUCACAUAUCUUAGCCACCAGCAUUGGAGUGGCCCUCAUCUUCACUUACCGAUCCAAAGCUUACUAGCCAGAAUAGAUCCAAUUUGAGAGUUCCAUGCCUCUUUUCAAAUUCAAAGUGGCCCACUAGCUUCGAAGCAAAUAAAGUAGGUAUAACUGUCAUAUCUCGAAACUCUGGGCCUCAAAUCUCUUC
rnacentral:lncRNA from 1 species